CACGUAGGUGGCAAGCGUUAUCCGGAAUUACUGGGCGUAAAGGGUCCGCAGGUGGGAUGGUCAGUCCGAUGUGACAGUACCCGGCUUAACUGGGUGAGGCCAUUGGAAACUGCCAUUCUUGAGUCACGGAGAGGGAAGCGGAAUUCCGGGUGUAGUGGUGGAAUGCGUAGAUAUCUGGAGGAACACCGGUGGCGAAGGCGACAUCCUGGACCGGUAUUGACGCUGAGGCGCGAAAGCCAGGGGAGCAAACGGG
rnacentral:rRNA from 1 species